rnacentral:lncRNA from 1 species
GGGCUCCAUGUCGGGCGUUCCGUCUCAUCUUGUAGCUGUUCCUAAUAACUACAUCAGGCCAGCGAGAGGAGCGGGGAGCUGACACCUUCCAUGAAACAGCUGCGGAGACGGGGCCCUGGGGAGGCCCAGCUGAUGGGCGGAGGAGAAAUGGAACAUGGCGUGGGGGCCAGUGCUGAAGCCAGAACUUGGGGCCCAGUGGGUUCUGGAGGAAGCGUCCGUGGCACAACUCUGUGGACAAAUGAAGCAGAAAGAAAACAGGCUGCACAGCUGACCUCUGGGGUGCCAAUCCAGGGACACCUGAAAUUGCUGGAUGCUUUUGAACGCCUGGCCAGGCCGGUGGGACAGUAAAGAAAAGCUUCAGCAGUCGGAGAGGGCAAGAGAUGCGAUUCCAGAGACGAGAAUAAGCUGGCACUGGAGCCGGCACCUCCCCGGGGCCAUCUGGUCACCCCGAAGCCUGGGCGUUAAUGUGCCACAUUAGAUGGGCAAGAUGCACAAGGCAGGAGGGCACAUCCCCCAUCUGCACGUCGCAAAAUCUCCACACAGGAUCUGAGAAAAGCUCGGCUGGGCUCCGGUGGGCAGGGAAAAAGGAACAGGAAAAAAAAAAAAAGACCCAAGGAAAGAAACAGGAAAACAUAAUUUGCCCUCUGUGAGAAACGCAACCAGACGCUGUCCCUUGUGAGUUCAGCACCAGAAUCCCUUCUACUCACGUGGCCUAGAAAGCUGUAAGCAGAAUACGGGCAGUGACCCCUGGCGGGAGUACACUCAGGUCUGUCUCAGGCAGCAUCCCCUGACCCAGUCCCCAAGGAUCCCGUAGAAAACGACUUCCAAGACGCAUGCAGUCGGCGUGUUCCGGGUUGGGCGUCUUGUCCGUAUUCUUGAGGUUCUAAACAAAGAGCUGAGCUGGGCACCCGAGGGUACCAGCAAUAUUGACAGUUUAUUAGAAAGAGAAAAGCCGAGAUCUGCCCCCCAGGAUGGCAACAGGCAGAGAGAAAGGCUCACAGACCCAGGGGCUUCAAGUCUUAGGACUUGGGCUGGGAUUGAAAGUUCAGUCUGAAUUAGAACUCCUGCCAAGGACUGGCUUGACUCAGCCUCCCUCAUUGGGCAGUGUAGUUUUUGACCUUUGAUGGCCCUUAGAGGAAUUAUC